AACCCUUGCACCAUCCUCGUGAGAGAAACGGUCCUAGGGAGCUACCCAGAUCCAGUUCACAUCAAACAGAGCAGCAGUGGCCAAGCAACCAGAGAUGAUGAGCAGGAACACAGAUCCCCAAGGACUCAAGAAGGCUAAGGGCCACAGUCACUGGCAAAGGAAACAACAGGAAGCAAAGAAAGAAGGAAAUCCGAGGAGAUAAAGGCUAAAGAAAAGGGAUGAGGAGUGAGGAGAAAGGAAUGCUUGCGGGCCGAGAUAAUUAGCCUGGGUCACAAGUAUCUUUUAACAGUGAACUAGCUCACCGUUCCAGUUUCAGCUCCCACUGUGUUCCUCCCAUGACCUCAGUGCACAUCCACACCUAAAUGCGAUCCCUGGCUGUGCGUCAUGACAUCACAACGUUUGGGCUUUAUUAAAGACCACUGAGAACACUGUGUCUCUAGCUCUCACCGUGCUACCUACUCCCUCUGUUGAUCGAGAAUACUCAGGCCAUGGGAAGUUAAGCUUUCUGUUGACGUCAUUUUUGGAUUUUGAAACAAGUCCUCACUGUGUUGCCACGAUGAGCUCAAACUCGUGACGUUCUUGCUCUGGUAUUGUGAUUGUAGGUUUGUGUCACCACAUCUAGCCUUCGUUUGGGGUUUUAGAUAUCAAUUAACUUUAAGGCAUCGCAGAAAAUGACUGAAGUCAUCAAAAUCCCAAACAGACUUUGGAAUGACCUUGAACUGUGCUAGGUAUGACACAUCCCCCAAGUGUAAUCAGGCUGUCUGCUCAUAGUGCCUCAACAUUUAUUUUAUGUAUAUAAAAAUAUAUGUAUAUUAAAAAGUAUAACUUUUUAGAAGAGCUUCUAGAAGCCACUGUCUAAAAACAUAAAUGAACGAAUCCUUUGAUCCAGAAUGCAGAACUCAGUCGAGUCCAACAAACUUCUUAUCGCUGCUUCCCCAAAAUAUGUUUCGAAAGACAAUCUUCCAUGGAAAUUCAUACAGCCAUACUUGUUCUGAGAGCACAUUCUCUGAGCCGGCAGCCUGUAUGGGGAAGAUGGAACCGCAGGAACCGCACCGUGCGUCGGUUUGGCCGUAUGAAUGUUGGUCAGCGAAGACAACGUAGAGAUCACAGCUUUAGGAAAUGCACUGGAGAGCUAGUGUGCCUCUCUUGCUACUGAACAGCAGAAGUGGUUUUUGUCUCUGCGUGUUUCGGGACCAGUUAGAUCCAAAGGAAAUACAGAAGGGGCAUAGUUUUCCUGGCUACUCCUCUGGCAGCUCUAAGCAUCCUGGCCUGGUAGGGGCAGAGUCACAUGACCAUCUUUUUGAGCUGGGGAACUUGGGACUAGGCCUCGCUGAGAUUGUGCUCACAGUCUACAAAUUCCAGCCACGCCAGAUUUCAGACUCUUUCCAAAACUGUUGCCAGGCGCUAAAACCAAAAGGACUGUGCUGCACGGACUUUUGAAAGAAAUCAAUUACAGACUUCCCUGACUUGCCCAACAAUCAACUACUGGAAAUAUUCUUUUUGUAAAGAAGCACAGAGACUUUUGCAAGGUGUUUGCAGGUCAGCCUUCUUUGGGCACCAAGCUAGACCAUGAUGAAUAAAAUAGAACUUUUUC
rnacentral:lncRNA from 1 species